CCCAAAAAAAAAAAGUAAAAAAUUUUUGCUACCAGCGUAAAAUGAGUAUGUCAGUUUGAUUCUUUAAAUCUCAAACUUUAAAUAGUGGACAAACUGCAAUUAAAGAAAGACUUUUUUCUUUUUUUGCUUCCAAUUUCUGAGGUAAAAUCUAUGUUUUGUAAUCUUAAGAUAAAUUUCUAGAUACUACUUGUAGCCUGCUACAGUAAGGUCCAGUGUAUUGGUUAUAUUCUCAAAAGCUCAAAAGCUCAAUAAACAAUAUAAGGACAGAUUUUAAACUGAGAAAAGAUCACAUCCUUUCUGCUUCAAAUAUGAGAGGCAGUAUUUCUUUAUCAGGGGCAAAAAUUAAAUAUUUUCAAACAUUUUGUUCUGCGUUAUAUUCUAAAGCGCAUAUGAAUAUGAAGAAACUAUGGUACCAAAGCUAAAUUUCACUAUCGCAAAAUUUAUUGUGUAUAAUUUGUACUGUUUUAUGAUGUAUGCAUUAUAAAGAACAAGGAUUUUUGCAAACAAGUAUUUUGUAAGCAAUGUCUGGUAACAAAAAUGUAAAGUAGCUGUAACCAGAACAGAAGAGCAUGAAUUGUAUCAUUUUUACUGUUUUCUAAUGUAUGUUUAAGGGCAUUAUAAAGAACAAGGAUUUUUGCAAACAAAAGAUUUUAGCUAUAAUACAUUUUCUAGCAAAACAAUUUUUGCAAAUGUCAUGUAUUUGUCAUCUUGAUUAUUCAUUUUAAGUUUCAUUUGAUUCUGUGAUAUUUUUUUUGGGUCAUUACCAGAACUCAAGAUAUAAUUAUCAAAAUGAUCUCUUUGUUACAUGUAGCCUAAUGUCCGAGCCAAAAUUGUUAGGUUUUUAAAAUCUAUUUUAUUGCUCUAGAAUAUGUGUAUUGAUAUACAUUAAAAAGUGGAAUGUAACACCAUGCCAUACCAGAGUGUAGUAAAAAUGAAGUUGUAAAUGUAAUUGACUUUAUAAUCCUCAUGUAGAAUGGCUCAUAUGGAAAUGUAUGCAUGUAUAAUCAUUAUCAUAUUGCUUAGGAUCAGGUACUGUCUUUUAUCAUUGAUCAGACUACCGGUAAUCUAAUGUAGAGCCUUAUGUGUACAGAUAUUAUUAAAAAAAGGUUAAACUUACACGGUUCACUCUAUUGUUAAAAGAAGAAACUCUUUCAUUUCAUAAACCUUUACAAGUCAUGUACUAGGAUUGCAAGUUAGAUACUAGGAUUGCAAGUUAGACAGCUGUGACACUUUCUAUCAUUUUUAUGAGAACUACAAACAUGAGAUAUUGAUAUCAUAUUUUGUUGUUGUAUAUAAUUAUGUUGAAGUUAACACUUUUCUUGUAUUAAAUAUGUUAUUUUAUCAGGAAAA